rnacentral:ncRNA from 1 species
CAAAUGUUUGAUUUUAGCUUAAAUUUUUACAUUAUUAUUAAGUUGCAUGAAAGUCGAAGCGUGAUUUAAAAUAACUUGAUUUAAUAUCGGUAUAAGCCUCAUGGAGAAGAAAAAUUAUGAAACUUUAUGAUCUCAGCAUAAAAUAUUGUAAGGAAUAUAUUAAAAUAUGAUAUAGUAAUAAUAAUAAAAUCUGAUAUAUAUUUGUGCCAGCAUUCGCGGUUAUACUUUAAGGUUAAGUAAAAAGCUUAAGGUCUUAGUUAAAUGUUUAAUCUUAUAAAUUAAUAUAAAUAAUAAAGGGUAAAAUCAGAAUAUUAUUUUGUAAAUACAAAGAUUAGAGUUGAAGCUAAAAAAGUUUAGUAAUAAACUAGGAUUAGAUACCCUAUUAUUCUAAAAUAAAUUUACCUAAACUAAAUUAGUAAGAGAUAAGUACUUAAAAUUUAAAAAAUUUGGCGGCAAUUUAAUCUUUUCAGAGGAACCUGUUUUAGAAUCGAUAAACCACGAAAAAUCUUACUUGUUCUAGUAAAAUCCAGUUUGUAUACCAUCAUUAUUAGAUAAUUCUUAAAGGAAAAAUUAUUAGAUUUAAUUAUUUAUUAAAAUUAGAUCAUGGUGCAGUCUAUGAGCAAGGUAAAAUGGGUUACAAUAAAUUAUUUUAUGGCGGAUUAAUAAUAGAAAAUUAUUAUAAAGAAGGAUUUGAUUGUAUCGUUAUUUUAAUAAGUUAGCGAGAUAUAAGUUCUAAAUUGUGUACAUAUCGCCCGUCGCUUUCAUUUAUAAGUGAAAUAAGUCGUAACAUAGUAGAUGUACUGGAAAGUGUAUCUAGUAGAAU